GGACUCCAAUGGUGUCUGUGUCAGCACGCCCACACCAGGCCACAACAAUGGUCGCUGCCAAUGUCCCAGUCCCUGGAGAGGUCUCACCUCUCACCGAGAUGCACUCAGGGCCUAUCAGAGAAAAUUUGGACACAGACAUGUACAGAAGGAAGAUGAUGUGAAGACAUGGGGAGAAGACAACUAUCUAUAAACCAAGGAGAGAGGCCUCAGAAGAGAUCAACCCUGCUGACACCUUGAUUUCAGACUCCUAGACUUCAGAACCGAAGGCUAAAGACAGGAGAAUUGGAAGUACUGGAAAAGGAGAAAAAGUAUCAGAAAACCAGCUUUCUGUGUUGAGGUAGAAAAUACAUGAACACUUCUUGAACAGAGUAUCCCAGUCUGAACCCAAAGGUAAAUAGGAGUUAUUGUACAGGAUUCUUUCUAGUUAGAAAAUGCUCUCUGUUUCUUUUCUGCUAGCUUUUCCUCAUCACCUGCCGUUUGUAUACCCAUCUUUCUCCAUUGGUGUUUGUUUAUAUAUAAACCACAGCUUUCACUGCUUCACAAAACUCAAAUAAUGUUUCAGUGGGCGGUGUGUUUUUAGAUAGGAGACAGAUGGAUUUGGGGUAAGCAUGAGUCUUUGUUGUUGUUGUUGAUGGUGAUGUCUCACGCUUGCCAGAUAGAUGUACAGUCCACGGACUGAAAUGAAACAAGGAAACAGGUUAUACUAAUAUAAUAUGUGGCCUGUGUUUGGUGCUUUAUAGUUUUCCCAUACACUUUACUUCAUUGAACAGGUUAACAUUGUUAUUUUACAUUCUCCUGCCAGCUCUAGAGAGGGUCUUGAAGUCCCAGCGGGUGGACUAACCAGCAUCAGCAUGACCUGAGAAAUCCAGAAUCUCAGCUGCUCCCUCCCUAACUGCUGAAUCAGAGUCUGCAUUUCAAUAACAUCCUCAUGUGAUUUGGGUGUGCAGUACAGUUUGAGACCUCUGACCUGCGGAACAUUUAAAUCUUUAACCCACCAGUUGUCUAGGAUUACUGACUGUCUAAAGAUAUCUUUUAAUUUCAUUGUGACUGUGUUCAAGACCACAACACUCAGAACAAGUUUACUGUAUCUUCUUGGUGGUGUACAAUGUUAGUUGCCUUUUAGUGACUUUGGAAGCACUAGGUUUACUGGAAUGAGAGUAAGACAAAGGCAUUAGUUUUCUCUUCACCAUACUUGUUUCAAGACAUUUAGAAGGUUUUACCACUCUUUGAACCUCUCAAUCCUGUGCAAAACUAUGAAAUAUUUUCCAACCAAUAGUACGGGAGGUCAAGUUGUUAAAGGCAGUGAUGGGAUCUGCUUUUGUCCCCAUUUAUUAAAAAGUUUACAGGACUCAGGGCCGGCCCGUGGCAUAGUGGUUAAGUGCGCGCACUCUGCUGCUGGCAGCCAGGGUUUGGAUCCCGGGCGCGCACCAAUGCACCGCUUGUCAGGCCAUGCUGUGGCGGCGUCCCAUAUAAAGGAGAGGAAGAUAGGCACAGAUGUUAGCCCAGAGCCAGUCUUCCUCAGCAAAAAGAGGAGGAUUGUCAUGGAUGUUAGCUCAGGGCUGAUCUUCCUCACACAAAAAAAAAGUUUACAGGAUUCUGGUUAAUUGGGCUCAGAUGCACUUGUUCGUUUUUCUAUCACUUGGUUUAUCACUCAGCUGAGACCUGCUAGCCACUACAAAGUUUUUGGUCAAUAUACAGCUUUACAUCAUUUUGUUAUUCAUAUAUUGUUAUAUUCAUACUUCCAAUGGAUUGUUAGCUAAUUACUCAGAAAAAAAGAAAUACUCAUGACAAAGUACGAGAUUAUCAAUACAGACCAAAAAUAUGACACUAAUUCUCCAAGUUGAUCUCAGAUUGAUCCUCUCCAGAUCCAUCAGAUACAGUCAUCAAAUCCAAUUCUUAAAUAGUAUAUCCAAAUAUGUUAAUUUUUUAAAAAAAUCAAAGUUAAACACAGAACUAUCCCAAGGAUUAUAGUCACCAUGACUUUUCACUUAUUGGACACGUCUACUCACAUUAUGUGUCAUUUUCAAGGAGGUGCUUACAACCUCUAUCACCUCAUCAUUUGUCAACAAAACACAAAAUAGGGCAGUUGAUUUUCUCUUAAGUGGUAAAUGCAAACAUUCAAAACAUCAAUUUAUAAGAGCAUUUAUCCAUUUUCAAUGCCAUAAUAGUUAAUUUUUUCCCAAAAGUAAACAUGAUAUGCCUUUCUAAGUUUAUUUGUUGAUAAGUAAAGCUUCACUACCUAAUUAAUCUAAUAACAUAUCUCUUAUUAAACAGGAAAAGAGCGUUAAGUAUCUUUACAUAUGAUGACCAUUAUUAAGGAUUAUAUACAAUGAGUUUCCUAAUACAAUAUUAAAUAGUA